rnacentral:rRNA from 1 species
UACGAAGGGGGCUAGCGUUGCUCGGAAUCACUGGGCGUAAAGGGCGCGUAGGCGGCCGUUCAAGUCGGGGGUGAAAGCCUGUGGCUCAACCACAGAAUUGCCUCGAUACUGUACGGCUCGAGACCGGAAGAGGUGAGUGGAACUGCGAGUGUAGAGGUGAAAUUCGUAGAUAUUCGCAAGAACACCAGUGGCGAAGGCGGCUCACUGGCCCGAUACUGACGCUGAGGCACGAAAGCGUGGGGAGCAAACAGGG